rnacentral:rRNA from 1 species
UAGGGAAUUUUCCACAAUGGGCGAAAGCCUGAUGGAGCAACGCCGCGUGCAGGAUGAAGGCCCUCGGGUCGUAAACUGCUUUUAUGUGAGAAGAAUAUGACGGUAACACAUGAAUAAGGGUCGGCUAACUACGUGCCAGCAGCCGCGGUCAUACGUAGGACCCAAGCGUUAUCCGGAAUUACUGGGCGUAAAGAGUUGCGUAGGUGGCAUUAUAAGUGGAGCGUGAAAGCGUGUGGCUCAACCAUACAGCGGCGUUCCAAACUAUAAAGCUUGAGUAUGAGAGAGGUUAUUGGAAUUUCUAGUGUAGGAGUGAAAUCCGUAGAUAUUAGAAGGAACACCGAUGGCGUAGGCAGAUAACUGGCUCAUUACUGACACUAAGGCACGAAAGCGUGGGGAGCAAACG